UUUCUUCUCAUGCAGUGGAAGUGAAUUUGAAGAGAUGUUUGUUGGUGUUGGUGCACGAAGGGUGAGGGAUCUUUUUUCUGCUGCAAAGAAGCGAUCACCUUGUAUAAUCUUCAUCGAUGAGAUCGAUGCUAUUGGAGGAAGCCGAAAUCCAAAGGACCAAAUGUAUAUGAAGAUGACUCUAAAUCAGUUGCUUGUUGAGCUAGAUGGAUUCAAGCAGAAUGAAGGUGUAAUAGUGAUUGCAGCUACGAACUUUCCAGAGUCACUAGAUAAGGCUUUGGUAAGACCUGGGCGGUUUGAUCGCCAUGUUGUUGUUCCCAAUCCAGAUGUUGAAGGAAGGAGACAGAUUUUGGAGUCCCACAUGUCGAAGGUAUGCUUUUACUUGUGGAAAAGAGUCUAUGUUAAUUUGUAGCUUCGGUUAGAUGGUCAUUGUUAGUGCUCACACUAAAUUGGUGCAAAACAUUGUAGUGUGCUUCCUUUGGGAUAUAAUUGAGUGUCCAUUGGAUACUUUGUGUAUACACUUAUGCCUAGGAUAUUCUAUUCAUAUCUAUUUUCUCAUUUAAGUUUUGUAAUAUUAAUUGCAUCAUAUUUUUGUGACAAGAUUGUGAUCUUAGUAGGAGAGUAAACCAAAUGGAGGUUAGUCCAAUUUCUAGAGUCAGACGAAGACCAAGAAAAACCUAGGGGAAAGGAUUAGGAAAAUAUAGAGAUCAAUGCUUUACCACUGGUUGAACCAGUGAACCACUAAACCAGUACCCUCACCAAUUUGAUGAUCGAUCCGGUUUUAAUAACAUUGGUGUAGAGUUUGAUUUUAAAAAAUAAUUCCACCAAUAUUAAGUUUUGUCUGCAAUUAGAGGCCCAUAUAAUUUAAUUUGUACUCAUGCCAAAUUUACUAGCUCAAUUAUAAAAAACUAGUGUGUAUAGACACUUUGUACGGCCGGUCAAUAUUGCAUGAUAUUAUGUAUUUAAUUUUUAUAUAUUUUAUUUUUUAGAAUCAGAAUGUAUUUGUUGUGUUAUGUGUACUUUAUAUUAUAUCUUUUUAUUUAUUUAUGAUAAUAUUCACUUUGAGGGAGAGAUGUGGUUAAUUAAUGUGUUGGUAGUGGUUAUUUAAGUUAUAUAUUUUUUUGUAAAAAUUAAAUAAUGUUAAAGGCAAAAGAGGAAAUGAAAAUUAUAUCAUGGUGGAAAUUACAUCAUGUUUUGGCUUUAUAUAGACUAGUGUGUACAGGCACUUCGUGCCUGCCGGUCAAUUUUACAUGGUACUACGUAUUUAAUUUUUAUAUAUUUUAUUUUUAGAAUUAUAAUGUAUUUGUUAUAAUUUUUAUGUAUUUAUGAUAAUGUUCAAUUUAAUGUGAAAGAUAUAAUUAAUUAAUGUGUUAGUGAUGUUUAUUUAUGAUUAUAUGGUCUUUUUGUAAAAAUUAAAUAAUGUGAAUGACAAAAUAUGAAAUAGAAAUUAUACCAUGGUGGAAGUUACACCAUGUUUUGCCUUUAUAUAUAGUAUAGAUAUAUAGAUAUAUAGAUAUAGAUAAAAGUGAAGAAAAAAACUAUAUAUUAAAAAAUAAAAUCAAUAUCAAUUACUAAAUUAUCACUAGUUGAUAUUUAUUAUAUAGUGUUUGCAUGAGAUCUUGAAUGAACUAUAUAUUAAAAAUGAGAGAAAUUAUAUAGAAACUUAAUAAGGAUAGGAUAAUUUUAUCAUAAUAACAUUUAAUAUUUGCUUAUAAUUAAUAACAUGGAAAUCUCCAAAUUAUCUCCCUAUUUGUUAUAAGAGAGGAUUUAUGCAAGCAAAAUUUAUGUAUCACAUAUUUUAAAAAAGAGUAUAAAAUGUAUGCACGGUGAGUAUACAGAUUUAUAUAUAUGUGCUUCAUCAUCCGAUUAUUUUUGUUGUUGAAAAUCCAAUAACUAUUAAAUAUGUAAUCCAAUGAUAAUGUAUAAAACUCAUACACGGUUGGUGUAUACAUCUUUUUCCUUUUAAAUUUUUUUUUUAAUUUAUUAUAAUUAUACACACAUAUUAUACAAUAUCCACCAAAGAAUAUAUAGGCUUGUAAUUUGACAAGGCUCUUGUAAUAUCUAAUCUUAUACAAAUUAGAGAAAGAGAAGAGAAGAAUAAGUUGAUUUGUUAAGAAGUGAGAACCUACGACACAUUCGAUCCUUCACUCUCUUGUUUUCCGAUCUUUCAUUUUCAUCAAUCACGUUUUCUCUUUCCCAACAUAAUCUGCAAAUUUAACCUAAUUUCGUCACAUGGCGUGGAUUCGUUUGAUAACUCAGGUCAGUUUUUUCUUCAAUCUAACCCCCACUCCAUCAAUUUUCAUCCUCUCUAUUUCAUUUCCAUUUUAUUAUUAUUGUUUGGAGAACCCUAAAUUUAUUUAUUUAUUUAUUUUAUUCGGGCUCAGGUUCAUAAUACUGAUGAUAGUCACAUUUAUCCAAUUUUCUAGAUUGAGUUAUUGAAAGGGUCAUUGUUUAGGUUUAGAAGAUUUUUAUUUCAUUGUUAUUGGGGAACCGUAAUUUAAUCAAUUUUUUUAUUCGUGAUCAUGUUCUUAAUGUUGACAUUUAUCCAUUUUGAUAGAUUGAGUUGUUGAAUGGGUCAUUGCUCAGGUUCAUAAUAUUGAUAUUUAUCCAAUUUGCUAGAUUGAGUUGUUGAUUGGGUCAUUGCUCAGGUUCAUAAAUUUUUUAUUUCAUUAUUAUUUGGAGAACUGUAAAGUAAUUAUUUAUUUUAUUCUGGCUCCGGUCAUAAUAUCGACAUUUGUCCAAUUUGCUAGAUUGAGUUGUUAAAUGGGUCAUUGCUAGGGUUCAUGAGAAUUUUCGUUCACUAGAGAGAGACUAGAAAGCUGGGUAGUUGGAAAAUAGGGAUGGUGUGUAUUUUCUUUUACAUUUUUAAACAUAAGUUUUCCAACCAAUGAUAGCUAGUUUCUAUCUAGUGUCAAAUAAGUUAAGCAAACUGUAUGCAUUUCAUGAUCAAUUAUGUCUUACUUUGCACGAAUGCAAUUGCCAUCUGUGAUUGUAUCUUGUAUUAGUUUUAUUCGUAAAUUAAUUUUAUAGUUUCUUUUUUCAGGUAGCAAGGAAUCAAUCAGCAUCUGGACAGGUCAAAGAUUUGUUUCUUAGAAGCUAUUUAUCAGCUAAUAAAUUUGAAGGCUGUGCAGGUAUAAAACCAUUGUUCCUGUAGUGUGCGUCAGUAGUUUAAGUAUAUAUAUUUGCUUUUCUCAUUCAUAGUAGUUUUAUAUUUUCUGACUUGUGUUACUUUGGGGUUUAUCUUUUGAAAAAAAAAUUAGCAGUAGAACUAUUUAUACAUAGAUAUUUUUCAAGUUGUAAAUGCCUGUUUCUAACUGAUGUCUAGAGUACCUGUAAAUUUUGGCCUAAAACUUUUGUCUGUUACACUUGCCUUUAAAUUUCUGUAGGAAAUAGGCUCUUGUGUGCCCAGAAGAAAUUCCAGUCCAGCUAUGUUGGCAAUCUGGCCCGUCGAGUACGUGAUGCAGAUGAAGCCAGUGAAGUUGCUCAUCUUAAAGAACUUUACCGUCGAAAUGAUCCUGAAGCUGUAAUUAGAGCUUUUGAAAGUCAGCCAUCUCUGCAUUCUAAUCAUUCUGCACUUUCUGAAUAUGUUAAAGCAUUAGUGAAAGUUGAUAGGCUGGAUGAAAGUCAACUGCUGAAGACUUUACGGAAAGGUGACUGUUUGGCUCUAUAACUGCUCUCCUUUUAUUUUGACUAUAUUUGCAAUUUUGCAUAUGUAUUUACUUUGCCUUGUCUAAUACUCUGCCUAAUGUUUCUUGUCAAUAUUGCUUUUCUUAUAGAAUGAAGAUUUUCCUCAAGCAAGCAAUUAAAUUUGGUUUUCUUCCUUCUACCUCUUCUGGCUCUGAGUUUUGCUUUUGAGUGUGUGCUGAUUUGCAGAUAUUUAGAUUAAUGUUCCAUAAUGGUGUGGACAUGGCCGAAUUGCCCCUGCCAGCAUUCACAACAAAUAUGGCCCAAUUCCUAAAAUCAAAUAUGGCUUGGGUUCGUGUGGCCCAAUUCCUAAAAUCAAAAUUAGGGCUUUUCCUAGCAAUAUUAUCAAUGAAAAAAGGGGGAGGAGAUAAUAAGACUGACCCCCCUUUUCUUUCAUAUCGUUUUCUCAAUUAUUUUUCCUAUCCCUCCUCCUUUUCUUUAUUUGUUUCAAAUUUGGUUGCCGCAUUAGUUUCAGAUCUGCGUUUAUAUAUAAACAUAAAUUUAUAAUAUUUUUUGUGAAAUGAUGUCAUACUUAUCAUUCAGUCAUGAUCAUUUCUCACUCUGCUAAACUGCGUAGGACAUCACUAACCCUCACUCUUUCAGAUUCAGCUUUGUAUUAUAGCUGAUUUCACGAUUCGUCUUUCGUCAUUGUAUAUUAUAUAUAUAUAUAUAUAUAUAUAUAUUAUUGUCAUCUGCCAUGGCGAGUAGUCGCCUUUUGCCAGCGAUUUUUGGAAAAUCAACAUGAACCGCCACCCGCCAUUGAUAGCACUGUUAGAAAUUCCUUAUCCUCUUCAGGCUAUGGUUGGGAGAGGGUUAUUAUUUGGCAUCUUUUUGGAGCUCUGCCCAUAUGUUUUUUGUGGUGUUUCUUUGGGUAUGAUUUUCAGAGGGAUUGGUAUGCUUUGUUGCAUAUUCUACAUCCUAGCAUAGUUGUUUUUCUUUCGCUUUGUUCUGUGAGGAUGUCUUAUCCUCUUCUCAUGUACUAUUCUCUUCUCUUACGGAAUUUCUUUAUUUAUCUAAAAAAGAAAAAAAUAAGCAUUUAUUUCUUAGCACACUUUAAGGACACAGUUAUAACCAAGCGGUGUCUGAUUUUUCAGGUGUUUCUAAUUCAGUGAGGGAGGAAGAGAGUAUAGGUGGCUUUUCUGCUCUUAGAAAUGCGGGAAAACCUGCAAAAGAUGCAGUGCUUGGAACUGCAAGUUUUCCAAUUCAUAUGGUGGCUGCAGAAGGUGGGAAUUUUAAAGAUCAGCUAUGGCGUACAAUUAGGUCUGUUGUAGUGGUCUUUCUCUUAAUUUCUGGUGUAGGAGCACUCAUUGAGGAUAAAGGAAUUAGUAAAGGUAUUACUAUGUCAUUGUAACUUAUAAGCUGCCCAGGUUCACUCAUUAUUCAACCUGAAUUUAUUGGGCACAUUGUUUGGUUUGUUUUUGAACUUUUAGGACUUGGUAUGAGUGAAGAAGUGCAACCCAGUGUGGAGUCCAAUACUAAAUUUAAUGAUGUAAAAGGUGUUGAUGAAGCUAAGGCAGAGCUGGAAGAAAUUGUUCACUACCUACGAGAUCCUAAGGUAGGCAUCUUGAGCACAGAUAUAUUCUCUCUUUUGCAAAGAUUUAUUCCUCUAAUGAUUGAGUGUUUAAACUUGUAUCUCCAGAGAACAAUGUCACCUUUCUAUAUCAUACUUUUGUUAGUUAUAAUCUAUAUACUUCUUUACUGAGCAUACAAGGCGCCCCUUUUCAGUACUAUUUUGGAUGACUUGUUUCCUUUGUGAUAGCGCUUUACUCGUCUUGGUGGAAAGCUCCCGAAAGGUGUUUUGCUUGUUGGCCCACCUGGCACUGGUAAAACAAUGUUGGCAAGAGCUAUUGCUGGAGAGGCAGGAGUUCCUUUCUUCUCAUGCAGUGGAAGUGAAUUUGAAGAGAUGUUUGUUGGUGUUGGUGCACGAAGGGUGAGGGAUCUUUUUUCUGCUGCAAAGAAGCGAUCACCUUGUAUAAUCUUCAUCGAUGAGAUCGAUGCUAUUGGAGGAAGCCGAAAUCCAAAGGACCAAAUGUAUAUGAAGAUGACUCUAAAUCAGUUGCUUGUUGAGCUAGAUGGAUUCAAGCAGAAUGAAG
rnacentral:lncRNA from 1 species